AGCUUUGCACAGUGGCAGUAUCGUAGCCAAUGAGGUUUAUCCGAGGCGCAAUUAUUGCUAAUUGUAACCUUUACGCUUAGAAAAGUAAGAAUAGUACCUGACCCACAGGAGACAUUUAAUAAUCAAUAUUA
rnacentral:snRNA from 1 species